rnacentral:lncRNA from 1 species
UCAAGCACUGCAUUUUAUUCAUUUUCUUUCUUUAAUGUUAAAUUUCUUUCUGCUUUCUCUUUCAGUGACUAGAGAAAAAAUCCAGGAACACAUCAUCAACCAGGUGGAUGGAGUGAUUUACAACUGUUUGAGGUUCUCGAAACGUGCAGCCACAC